rnacentral:rRNA from 1 species
UACGAAGGGGGCUAGCGUUGCUCGGAAUUACUGGGCGUAAAGCGCACGUAGGCGGAUUGUUAAGUCGGGGGUGAAAUCCUGGAGCUCAACUCCAGAACUGCCUUCGAUACUGGCGAUCUCGAGUUCGGGAGAGGUGAGUGGAACUGCGAGUGUAGAGGUGAAAUUCGUAGAUAAUUCGCAAGAACACCAGUGGCGAAGGCGGCUCACUGGCCCGAUACUGACGCUGAGGCACGAAAGCGUGGGGAGCAAACAGG